rnacentral:rRNA from 1 species
AGGAUAAACGCUGGCGGCGUGCCUAACACAUGCAAGUCGAACGUCUCUUCUUUCGGGAAGAGGAGUGGCGGACGGGUGAGGAACACGUGGGAACCUGCCCUCCAGUGAGGAAUACCGGCGAGAAAUCGCCGACAAGACCGCAUAGCCCUCUCUGGUGAGAGCCAGAGAAGGAAAGCUUCGCAAGAGGCGCUAGAGGAGGGGCCUGCGUCCGAUUAGCUAGUUGGUGGGGUAAGAGCCUACCAAGGCGUCGAUCGGUAGCUGGUCUGAGAGGACGAUCAGCCACACUGGGAUUGAGAACGGCCCAGACUCCUACGGGGGGCAGCAGUGAGGAAUUUUCGGCAAUGGGGGAAACCCUGACCGAGCAACGCCGCGUGCAGGAAGACGGCCUUCGGGUUGUAAACUGCUUUUCUCGGGGAAGGGAAUGGACGGUACCCGAGGAAUCAGCCCGGCUAACUACGUGCCAGCAGCCGC